GGGGAUAUAGCUCAGUUGGGAGAGCGCUUGCAUGGCAUGCAAGAGGUCAUCGGUUCGAUCCCGUUUAUCUCCA
rnacentral:tRNA from 2 species